GGUUCAAAAUUUCGGCGAAAUUUCGCCGAAAUUUCGCGAAUUUCGGUAAUUUCGGUGGUGGCCGAAAGAAAAAUCCGAAAUUUUAUUAUAUACUAAUACAUGUGCUAUAUAACUUUAGACUCAUAUUUUUUAUUGUUUAUAUUGCAUAUUCUUCUAUUCAAUAGAUGUGUAAUCAUAAAUCAUAUUGAGACUUGUUUAGAUCUAUUUUUUAAAAAAAUAAAAGCAUACUUCAUGUGCUAGUCUCUAAAAAAAUUUCGGCGAAAUUUUGGCCGAAUUUCGCGAAAUUCGGUAAUUUCGGUGGUGGCCGAAAUUUUUGCGAUAACGAAAUUAAAAACCUUG
rnacentral:lncRNA from 1 species